UACGUAGGGUGCAAGCGUUGUCCGGAUUUAUUGGGCGUAAAGAGCUCGUAGGCGGUUUAGAAAGUCGGGUGUGAAACCUCCAGGCUCAACCUGGAGACGCCACUCGAUACUUCUAUGACUUGAGUUCGGUAGGGGUAAGCGGAAUUCCUGGUGUAGCGGUGAAAUGCGCAGAUAUCAGGAGGAACACCGACGGCGAAGGCGGGUCUCUGGACCACUACUGACGCUGAGGCGCGAAAGCUAGGGGAGCAAACAGG
rnacentral:rRNA from 1 species